rnacentral:rRNA from 1 species
GAUGAACGCUGGCGGCGUGCCUAAUACAUGCAAGUCGAGCGAACAGACGAGGAGCUUGCUCCUCUGACGUUAGCGGCGGACGGGUGAGUAACACGUGGAUAACCUACCUAUAAGACUGGGAUAACUUCGGGAAACCGGAGCUAAUACCGGAUAAUAUAUUGAACCGCAUGGUUCAAUAGUGAAAGACGGUUUUGCUGUCACUUAUAGAUGGAUCCGCGCCGCAUUAUCUAGUUGGUAAGGUAACGGCUUACCAAGGCAACGAUGCGUAGCCGACCUGAGAGGGUGAUCGGCCACACUGUAACUGAGACACGGUCCAGACUCCUACGGGAGGCAGCAGUAGGGAAUCUUCCGCAAUGGGCGAAAGCUUGACGGAGCAACGCCGCGUGAGUGAUGAAGGUCUUCGGAUCGUAAAACUCUGUUAUUAGGGAAGAACAAAUGUGUAAGUAACUAUGCACGUCUUGACGGUACCUAAUCAGAAAGCCACGGCUAACUACGUG